rnacentral:lncRNA from 1 species
CCGCCAUCUGUCCAUCCGGAGGUCCCCGAGCAGGGCACCGUUCCACGGCUGCGGGAGCUCCCCGUGGCAGCCGGGGUGUAUGGAGUAUGGAGCGGGGCGGAACAUCCUGGAAGCUUGGAGAUCGACCAGCAGGUGCCAUUCUGCAGAGCGGCGCUCUGAGCUCUCCAAUGCCUGCCUUUGACACAUGAGAAAACGCAGGCAAAGAGAGACUCCGAGACUGCCCCAAGGUCACACAGCCAGCCACUGACAGCUGAUUCGAGGACGAAGUUCGGUUCUGUUGCCCGACCUCAUCCCAUUCGUGUGUUUCUCUUUCAGGUGUGACGGGGUGAUGGCGACGGCCUAGAUUAGAUCAAGAUCAGAGUCCUGGCACUAGCACUGAUUGUCAGCGUGACCUCAGUUUAAGCAAGAUCUGUGACUUUGCCGUCUCUCUACCCUGCCGGCAGAGUGAAGACAGGAGCGCUUGCCUGAUGGGGUUCUCCUGGCAAGGACUGAAUUAGUGACGCAUGUUAAGUACGUGGUUAAGGCCUCAUGCUCGGUAGCUAACGCUCAACGUAAUUUGCUUCCCAUCAUCCAUAGGAGCAAGGCUCGGAUGAGCAAGAUUAUUUGUAUUUCUAGACGAUUCUUAUUCUUUUUUUUUUUCAACGUUUAUUUAUUUUUGGGACAGAGAGAGACAGAGCAUGAACGGGGGAGGGGCAGAGAGAGAGGGAGACACAGAAUCGGAAACAGGCUCCAGGCUCUGAGCCAUCAGCCCAGAGCCUGACGCGGGGCUCGAACUCACGGACCGCGAGAUCGUGACCUGGCUGAAGUCGGACGCUUAACCGACUGCGCCACCCAGGCGCCCCUCUAGACGAUUCUUUUACAAGCCGACCGUCUUCCAGUUUGUAGGGUUUGCACAUCUGAACUGUUUCAUCACGUUUGCAUAAAGGGAGUCAAACUACUCUCUCAGAUCUCUUCUCACCCCCUAUCCUCAGAUCUGGCCUUACAGUCUGCAGAAAUGAUGUUUCUCCCUGACGCAGGCCGUCAAAAUGAUAGGGUACAAUUGGAAAGACUAUCCGAGAAUGGCUGGCAGGGGUGAGGAGGGUGGGGGCAAGAUCGGCAGCAGGCGUAAGUGGGGCAGGCGGAUUGGCUGUUCCGAUCCUGGUUUUCCAGCCGCUCUGCGUCACGGGAGGGCUGUGCUUUGAUGCUGGAAGGGGUCUGAGGCACGGGGUUUGGCAGCCGCAUUUCACGGGUGGGGAGACUGAGGCCCAGAAAGGGGCAGUGACUCGCCUGAGGUCACACGGCCGGUUAGUGAGGAAGCCAGUGACAGGCGCCGGCUCCUCCUUCCUGCUUCUGCGUUCUUUCUAGUUCAGCUGGGAGUGACCUUCGGGACCCUAGAGAGGAUUUCACCCUACCUGGGAAGAGGUGGACCACUGCCGUCUGGCCGGAGCCUUGCUCCCCCCCUGCGUUCCCAGAGAGACGAUGUGCCGUUGCCCCAAAACCUCUCUCCGGAAACAGUGGCAGUUCAGAACUAAUCUACAAAAACAAUAAGAGCUAUCAUUUCUGAGGGUUGAAUUCCAGGCACUUUAUUUAUAGUUUUCUAACCCUUUGAGGUAGGUGUUACUAUGAUUCUCAUUUUGCAGAGGAGGAAACUGAGGCUUAAGUGUUAAGUGGCCUCCCCAAAGUCACCCAGCUAGCAAGUCAGAGGUAGGGUUCGAACCACGGUUCAUUUUGACUUAUGCUCUUUUCCUGUGGCAGCACCCACCCCCCUAUUAGAUUCUGGCUUACGCUAGAAGUCUCCAGAAGGUGACACGGGGAGAGACGGAUCACUCACCUGGGGUCCAGCACUAGCCAAGUUUGGUAGGCGCCCGCCGGGAGGUGUGCCGGACCCUCACCCUGCGCCAUGAUGUUCUGUCCCCUUCCUGUCCCCCUCCCACCUGUGUCUCCUGCCGAGGACAGAUCGGUGGCUAGGGACCCGGGCUCCUCUUUCACACACUCGUAGCCUCUAGUAACUAAGCCUCUAGUAACUAAGUACAUUUUCUGUUAGGAUUAACAGAAAAUGUACCUAACAGAAAAUGCAAAGCACAGUGGCUUAAGUGCAUAAAGGUGUCCCUCUGAUGUGCAAGAGGUCCUGGUAUGGUAGCUUCACGAUCAUCUGGGGCUCAGGCUGUGUCCCUCCGCCUGCUCUGCCACUCCCCACAUUUGGCUCCUGUCCUCAGUGUUGCAGAAUGCCUGCUGCAGCUCCAGCCAUCGUGUCCACAUUCCAGGUAGCAGGAAGGAGGAAGAGGGCAAAGCGAAAGCGUCUUUCUCUAAUUGUCUCUUCUCCCUUCCAGAGAACCUUUCCAGGAUUCCUUUCCUAGGAGCUUCUCUUGCUUCACUGGCGGGAACACAGUCGUGUGGCCACACCAGGCUGCGGGACAGGACGGGAAGCAGGUUCUGUAACUGGGCGCAUCACUGCCUCAAGACCGUGGACGCUUGUGAGUGAGGCAGAAUGGGUGCCGGGGAACCAGACUCUGCCACAGCGCAACUGGGUCACCUCGCCCACUUGCCAAAGGGCGGAUGGCGGAGAGAGGUGGCGUUUUGAGUGAGAGAAAACUCAAGCCACCUUUGGCGAGAAUCUUAGAUGUCGCUCUGAGAUAACUGGAAAUGCCACAGACCUAGGGUUGCAACCCCUGUGCUUUCUGGGGCUGUUUGUUCUGGGGACGGCCACCGUGAUGGAAUCAACGGUACUUCGCACCUGUCACCGGCUUGUCCCACACGGUCCCUUUUCAGAGCGUGGAUAAGUUGUAUUUCUCUGGAUGUCUGCUCCUCGUGACACAUUUAUCCUGUGGGUCUCCCGAGGUGGAUUGGAGGAAUGGGUUUCUUGGUCUGCAGGCUGCUGACGAUCAGCGGGCUCUGGAAACGAACACAGAUGUCACUGUGCCAGCUCUGUCUAUGCACCAGGCACUAUACACGUGGCAGGUCCCACCAUCCUGACAACAGACCUACAGCCAGGGGGACUCUGAUCCCGUUUUGCAGAUGCAACGUGAAGGCUCAGAGAGGCUAAGCGGCUUGCCCGAGAUCACACAGCUGGUGCUAUGGACUGAGUGUUUAUGUCCCCCCGACCGCCCAACGCCGGCCCAAAUGUAUAUGCUGCAGCCCUAAUCCCCAGUGUGGUGGUGUUUGCGGGGUGGGCAUUUCAGGGGGUAAUUAGGUUUGGAUGCGGCCGUGAGGGUAGAGCUCCCAUGAUGGGACUGGCGCCCUCAUGAAGGGGCGAAAGGCGCCGAGCUUUCUCUCCCGCUCUGCCGUCAGAGGACGCGGUGAGAAGGCAGCCGUCGGCAAUCCAGGAAGAGAGGCUUCACCAGAAACCAGCCGUGUUGGCGCCCUGACCUCAGACUUCAGCCUCCAGAACCGCGAGGAACUGAUGUCUGCUGUUUAAGCCACCAGGCUGUGGUGUUUCCGUUAUGGUGGCCGAGCUAAGACAGCUGGUAACUACCGAGAGCCCAAGGUUGUUCUUUCUCCCGCCCUCUGCCCCGACACUGGGCGCAUUCCCCAAACUCACCCUCACUCCCCUUGUGGGUCCUGGCUCCUAUGACCGCGGGGACAUCACAGAGACCUCCGGGCACGGGCUGUGGUCUAGAGGUCCUUCUUGUCUCCCCUCCUCCUCUUUUCUCCUCCGCUCCUGUCGUCUUAGAAAGACCCCUGUGGGAGUCCAGCCCCAUCACCUGGCCCCCAUGUGGGCCUGGGUCAGUCACGUCUCCUUUCUGGGCCCCACGUGGCCCCGGCCCGGGGCCCAGCCCCCUUCCCCAGUCUGCACUCACACGCAGCCCUGUGGAAAUGGUGGCGCUCCCCACAUUAGGACCCACGUGUCUGCUGGCUGGGACCAAGGGUCAUAAAUAGGAAUAAAACUUAGGCUGUCCUUGUCCCCAUCUCGGUGAGUGAAGCCCCCGAAUCUGAGGACAAAACCAGAAGCCCUCUUCUUCGAGCCCCAAGGGACAGGAAGGGCUGCGUGUGCGGCUGAGGCCCUGCUCUCCCCCCCACCCCUCCCCGACCCCCCGGGUGUCACAGGCUUCCAUAUACAUAAUCUAAAUAUAUGCUUUGGAAAUUGAAAACGUUCACAUAUAGAAUGCGGCUGUGGGGAGGGAAUGCUCUCUUGGAACAUGUCUCUUUAAAGACAGAAUGUGCCCAAGUGUUUUCCUGCCCUUAAGGAGACACUUGAACGUGGCAGCAGAUGUAAAAUGGAAAUUGGAGUGUCUCUCCCAGGCCACCGUACAUGGAGAAAACAGCGCAAUCUAUUCUAAGCGCUCAUUAAUAGCUGGUCUCUGAGGGCCCCGGCAGCAGACAGAGGAUUUUACUCAUUAAAAAGGUGACGAGGUAGCGUUUUGUGCCUUCCCUGCUUGUCACUGCGUGAUCCUGGUGUUCAGAUGUCGCUGGCAGACCCCAGAUGAGUGCCCCCGGCUUGCGGGCAUGGGUGACGAUGUUCUGAAAGGCUUCAAAGCAUCCCCCACUCACUGAUGGGGCCACAAGCCCUUGCUGUUUAUCAAGUGGAUUCGUCUCUCUUCCGAGGCGGGCCCACGAUGGCAUUGUCUCGAGAAGGAAGCAGAGAGAAGAGCUUUAGCUCAUCACCUAAUACAAGAUCGUUGGUGAUUCCCAACACGGUCCUCCAGAUGGCACCGCGAAGGACCCGGAGCCUCCAGGCGUGGUCUGGGGCAGGGGCCUGGGGUCCUCGGUGAAGUCUGGAAGGGGCCGGACCCUUGGCAGUCGAAGGCACUGGCUGAAAGACAUCUCAGCUGUGCCCACUUGGACAGGGGCCUCUGGUUUUAGAGAAAGGGGGUUCUUGGCUCAUUUUUUACCCCUACUUUUUAUUUGUUCUUUUUUAAAAGUUUAUUUAUUUUGAGAGAGAGAGAGAGAGAGAGAGAGAGAGAGAGAGAAAGAACGUGCUUGCACAAGCAGGGGAGGGCCAGAGAGAGAGGGAGGGAGAGAAUCCCAAACAGGCACCACACGGUC